GAUGAACGCUGGCGGCGUGCCUAAUACAUGCAAGUCGAGCGAACGGACGAGAAGCUUGCUUCUCUGAUGUUAGCGGCGGACGGGUGAGUAACACGUGGAUAACCUACCUAUAAGACUGGGAUAACUUCGGGAAACCGGAGCUAAUACCGGAUAAUAUUUUGAACCGCAUGGUUCAAAAGUGAAAGACGGUCUUGCUGUCACUUAUAGAUGGAUCCGCGCUGCAUUAGCUAGUUGGUAAGGUAACGGCUUACCAAGGCAACGAUGCAUAGCCGAGCUGAGAGGGGGAUCGGCCACCCUGGAACUGAGACACGGUCCAGACUCCUACGGGAGGCAGCAGUAGGGAAUCUUCCGCAAUGGGCGAAAGCCUGACGGAGCAACGCCGCGUGAGUGAUGAAGGUCUUCGGAUCGUAAAACUCUGUUAUUAGGGAAGAACAUAUGUGUAAGUAACUGUGCACAUCUUGACGGUACCUAAUCAGAAAGCCACGGCUAACUACGUG
rnacentral:rRNA from 1 species